UACGUAGGGUGCAAGCGUUGUCCGGAAUUAUUGGGCGUAAAGAGCUCGUAGGUGGCGGGUCACGUCGGGUGUGAAAGCCCGGGGCUUAACCCCGGGUCUGCAUUCGAUACGGGUCUGCUGGGGUCCGGCAGGGGAGACUGGAAUUCCUGGUGUAGCGGUGAAAUGCGCAGAUAUCAGGAGGAACACCGAUGGCGAAGGCAGGUCUCUGGGCCACUACUGACGCUGAGAAGCGAAAGCAUGGGGAGCGAACAGG
rnacentral:rRNA from 1 species